CUGACACAUGGUGUGAAGUGCCAUCAUAUCCCUCUGAAUGAAAGCCUAAUCAAAACGGAGAUUAAUUAUGCAUGAAUGCGGAAUGGGCAGAGUGUUAUUGGUGCAGGAAAUAACUGGGAGAGAGCAAAACGAUUAAAUAAAUGUGCUCUAUACAUUUAGGGAACAGUUUUCCAGUUCCUCUCAUUGUGAAUGAGAAGUCAGAGGGAUUUGAGCGACGCCCCAGACAGGAAGUCUCGGUCUGCAGCGGUUGACAUCGGGGCGGUUUUCCGAGGGACGUUCCCGUUCCUUGGACCCGGUCUCCCUCCCUCUCCCAUCCUCAAAUCCUGCUGCCUUUUACGCAUCCUCGCGGCGGCACCGCCCACUCUCUCCGGAGGCCAAUUACAGCACUGGUCAGAUUAUUGGUAUCUCCCAUGGACAUCUAUAAAGUGGACUAGGAAGCACAGUAAUAGCUGGGUCGAUUUGUGGAAAUUGAUUCUCCCAGUUUGUCUUCCCUGCUUCUGGCAGCUGGAUGUCCUGUUACUACUGUCUAAUGUAUGUGAGGUUUUUACUACUGUCUACUGUAUGUGAGGUUGUUAUUACUGCCUAAUGUAUGUGAGGUUGUUACUACUGUCUACUGUAUGUGAGGUUGUUAUUACUACCUAAUGUAUGUGAGGUUGUUACUACUGUCUACUGUAUGUGAGGUUGUUAUUACUGCCUAAUGUAUGUGAGGUUGUUACUACUGUCUACUGUAUGUGAGGUUGUUAUUACUGCCUAAUGUAUGUGAGGUUGUUACUACUGUCUACUGUAUGUGAGGUUGAUAUUACUGCCUAAUGUAUGUGAGGUUGUUACUACUGUCUAGUGUAUGUGAGGUUGUUAUUACUGCCUAAUGUAUGUGAGGUUGUUACUACUGUCUACUGUAUGUGAGGUUGUUAUUACUGCCUAAUGUAUGUGAGGUUGUUACUACUGUCUACUGUAUGUGAGGUUGUUCUUACUGCCUAAUGUAUGUGAGGUUGUUACUACUGUCUACUGUAUGUGAGGUUGUUAUUACUGCCUAAUGUAUGUGAGGUUGUUACUACUGUCUACUGUAUGUGAGGUUGUUACUACUGUCUACUGUAUGUGAGGUUGGAGUUCAAUGUGCAUAAAGAGACCAAUGUCGUG